rnacentral:rRNA from 1 species
UACGUAGGGGGCAAGCGUUGUCCGGAUUUAUUGGGCGUAAAGAGCGUGUAGGCGGCCAGGUAGGUCCGAUGUGAAAACUCGAGGCUCAACCUCGAGACGCCGAUGGAAACCAUCUGGCUAGAGUCCGGAAGAGGAGAGUGGAAUUCCCGGUGUAGCGGUGAAAUGCGCAGAUAUCGGGAAGAACACCCGUGGCUAAGGCGGCUCUCUAGUACGGUACUGACGCUGAGACGCGAAAGCGUGGGGAGCGAACAGG